UCAAUGACAGGGUGGCUAUGAUCAUUUGAUUGGGACCUCAGAGCAUGGUCAGAUUAUCAAUUCCUCCGAUCUCACUAUACCCACUUUCAAUUGCUAACCAUUAAUUGAUAAGAUUGUACUUUUAGAUGAGGCGGGUAUUGUGUUUCCUUGGUAGCUCAUCUUUAUAAGCCACAAAUGGGGGUUGUUCUCUUUGCUAGAUGUCUACUGUGUCCAUCAACUAGAUUGCUUAUCUAUAGGGAGCCUCUUGAUGUUUGUGGGAUGGGUUUUAAACCUCUUUCAAUCUGUCGACUCUGAUUUCUUUCAGGGCAUAGGCAUCUAUUGAUUGCGUUUGGUGGACUUGCUGGGUAGGAAGAGAGCAUUGAAGAUGACCAUAACUUAAAAGGCAAAGAAUGUGCAGGAGGUGUUUGACAUAUAGCAGGUGGUUGUCUUGUGGAACUGAGUGUGCUUGACUAUUGCUAAGUUCGAUUCCUACCAUUAACGAUUACUGCAUCAGUGGUUUUUCUUACAAGGUUCACAAUCCAGCCUGAGGUUCAUGCCUGGGUAAGAAACAAUGUAUCGGACUUAGUAAAUGUGAGCUUGUGAAUUUUAUCUAAAGUUGAAAUCUUGCAACUUAAUACUGAUUGAGACUGUUAGAAAUAUUUUGAAGAAUAUUGAUCCCUCUAGAUAAGUUGCAGAGUUGGGACUUGCAAGGACUUGCUGGUUAUAAACCAUCUGACUUACAAGAUUAUGUCCUUAUUCUUCAUGACUUGCUGCUGAAUAAAUAAGGAACCAAUUUACAAGCAGUUAGAGAUAAAUGUACGCAAGCCAAGGUAAUGUAGUUUUAUGUUCAGGUAAUUUGCAUCUUGAAACUGUCCCAUGCAAAUUUGUUGAUAUUCUAAGUUUAACUUCCACAAGGGCUCAUAUAUUUGUAAAUGGCAAGAAAUUACAGUACAUGUGUACAUUGUAUGUGCAUUUCUAGAAAUACAGUAGGGCUCCAAAUUGAAAUUAACUCGAGAGUUUUAGGAAAUGUCAUGCUGCUUUUCACUAAUAUUUAUCUAGUCUUGACGAUUUGACAUUUUUUGGAUAGUUUAAGUGUGCAGCAACAUUGUCUUAGCACUUUGAGAUCCUUGCACUUUAUUUUGAAGCCAUCAACUAACUGCUAGAUUUGUGCAUGAGCUAUGGCUUAAGAAAGUUUGCCUUAGGUCUGAGUGUUAUUGUUUUGAGAAGAAGGAAGCAGCAAGAUGCUGAACGAAGCUAACUCCCGAAGUCUGACCUAGCUAGUUUUGAAGAAUUUCUUCUACACAUAUCCUUGAUCCACAUGUAGAAUCGAGGUUCAACAGUCUUCAAUUAUGACAGUGAGGAUUGGGAAUGAAGACAUUAGAACCAUAACCAAAGAUUCCCACUCUGUGGUAGUGACCCAAAUCUCGAGAAGCAGAAGCAAGUACAAUGAAUUACCUCCUUUCAGCAUAUGAUCAGCUACCAAGUUUGAUUCACGGGUCUAGCUAGCAGCUAUGAAUAGCUAGGAAUGCUUUUGAUUCAUGUGUAGGUAGCAACUAGAAAUGCUUGGUACAUUAUCUAGUAACUUGAAUGUUUGGAUGUUUGAAAAAUGCUACUUGAAGGAUAUGGAUUAGAUUGUGGUUC